GAUUUUUAUUUUAUAUAAAUUUUUGUUCUCAACCUAGCUAAGGAGACAUGCGUUGCCAGUAAAUAAUGACACAAACUGGCAAUAAAAGUCAAGGAGAUUAUUGCAUAGUAAGGGGGAGCGGCAGGCAGAGGGAGAAGCAGGCUCCCCGCUGAGCAAGGAGUCUGAUGUGGGGCUUGAUCCCAGGACCCUGGGAUCAUAACCAGAGCUGAAGGCAGACACUUAACUGAUUGAGCCACCCAGUGACCAGGGGAGGGAAUUUUUGAAAUUGAAAACUGUAUUAAACAUAUGGACGAGUAUAUAAAACAUGUGUGUAGUCAGAGAAAAAUACCAGUGUAUUUACCAUUCAGUUAAGAAGUAGAACAUUUAUCAGUACUUUUGAAUUCGUCAAGUACCCCUCCUCAUUGCACUCCUCUCAGAUUAUCAACCAGCCCAGUCUCUAUAUUAAUCAAUCCCUUUCUUCCAGGGUAGAUGUCCCUAAAGCAAGCACAAACCCAGGUGUAUAAGGAAAGGACAGUGUUGCCACCAUUCUCAAGAGGACAGCUUAAUGGUCCUAGUUUGAAUUCUUAAUCCCCUGGAUUGGAACAAAAAGCUCUGGGUCAAGCCUGGAUUAGGAGUUGAGAGGUUACAGGGACUUUUGGUACAGUCAGCUGGGGAAGGUUGUGAGAGAAUUUGUGGGACAUGGGAUGUUGGGAGGACUGCAGUGGGUCCAGCCGUUGGGAGCCUGGAAGUAGUACUACAGUCACAGGGAGUGACCUGUUGCACAUUUUAUUUUCACUUCUAAGCUCACCGUGGCUUACGUCCAGCUGUCAGAGGCAGGCCACAACAGGAGACUUCAAUGCGGUGAAAUGGUCUACUGAUUCAGACAUCAGGACGAAGAGGGAAGAACAGGAACUUUAUCAGUGCAUGAUUAAGAAAAGCCAAAUUUAGUUAGGAAUUUGGCAUCCUGUCCCUUGAUGCGGUCUGUGAGGAUCUUGAUGAUGAUAGCCCUGAACAUAUCCGUCACUUGUGUCUCACUGCCCAACUGUGGACCGAUCGUCCUCAAAGACUGGCUACAGCUCUCAUCUUGAGAUCUCUGUUCUGUCCUCCUAGGAAUUCCCUUUGCGUCCUCUGUGUUUAAUCUUUAUUUCUUGUUUUGGAGCUUCUCCUCUAUUUGCUCUUCAAGGAUGCAUAGCAGGCUAAUUCAAAGAUGGUUAUGAGGGUGCUGGGGAAAGAGUGAAUAGAAUCGACCCCACAGCUUCCUGCCUGCCAUGUGCAGGUCCUCGGCUGCCCGUCAGUGCUGUAUUGCAGAGUGGAAAAAAGAAAAUCAAUAGAAAGAAAGAAAUGAUCUUUGCCUAUAUGUAGAUUACUCAAAAUGAAGCAACAAGGAAAUUGUGAUAUCAGGAACAGUAAAAAAAACAAAACAAACUUCUUAGAAAUAUAAAAUACUCAAAACAUAAACCCAGAGAUAGAGACAGCCAGCGAGAGAGGGAACACAAGCAGGGGGAGUGGGAGAGGA